AGCCAUUGGCCACGCACAGUGGACACCAUGCAGGAUGGAGGAAGGAGUGACCCACAGGGUCCAUGGUAGAUCUUCCAGCCAAUAGGACAGGGGCAGGCAUAGCGCUGUGGGACCUGUGCCUGGGGUUCCAGUCAAAAUCCAAUGCUUGGCAAAGUCUCCUGGCCUAGUACAAAAUCUCUGCAGGCCUAGUAACCUCCUUGCUGGCUGAGACACUGUCUGCACUGAAGAAGCCUCGGGCCUAGCACCAUGACUCGCAGGGAAUCUGAAUUCAACAAAUACUCGUAUCAGUUGAAUGAAUGAACGACUGGUUCUCUGCUCAUCUUAUGUGUCUAAUAUUACCAUUGUGAUAAUGCCAAGUGCCAUGACCUGCUGAAGUUACAAUCAUGCAUGCAGUUGACAUUGGUCGAUUAAGCUGAGUCCAUCCAGGAAUUGUCACAGAUUUGCAGUUUAUCACUGAUACGCUUCACAAGAAAAUCUUGGUUAGAGAAUCAUCAUUCUUAUUAAAAUUUCUCAGUGUCCAUUAUAUCAGGGGAUUUAGAAAUUAUACAUCAUUGCUCAAGACAUUGUUCUGCCUUGAUUUCAUCAUACAGCAGGGUGAAACUCAUAAAGCCUGCAGGAAAGCUCCUUAUAGUACAUGGAGGGGGAAGAUAGAUUUUAAGAACUAUAUUCUGAGACACAUAAUUUUUAAAAACAUGUAUGGAUUCAAAACCAUUCAAAACCAAUUGACUGUGACAUGUAAGAAACAGAACAACUUUGCCAUGAGUUUUAAACUUGUAAAUGGUGUGAAAAAUUCUGAGCCACUCUGUUU
rnacentral:lncRNA from 1 species